rnacentral:sRNA from 1 species
CCGCCGUGGCCAUUUUGGCUCAAG